GCCAGGAGCAGUGGCCCACACCUGUAACCCCAGCUGCUCAGGAGGCUGAGGCAGGAGGAUCACAAGUUCAAAGCCAGCCUCAGCAAAAGUGAAGUGCUGAGCAACUCAGUGAGACCCUGUCUCUA
rnacentral:sRNA from 1 species